CGGGGUGAGUAAUGUCUGGGAAACUGCCUGAUGGAGGGGGAUAACUGCUGGAAACGGUAGCUAUACCGCAUAACGUCGCAAGACCAAAGAGGGGGACCUUCGGGCCUCUUGCCAUCGGAUGUGCCCAGAUGGGAUUAGCUAGUAGGUGGGGUAACGGCUCACCUAGGCGACGAUCCCUAGCUGGUCUGAGAGGAUGGCCAGCCACACUGGAACUGAGACACGGUCCAG
rnacentral:rRNA from 1 species